rnacentral:rRNA from 1 species
UCCUGGCUUAGGAUGAACGCUGGCGGCGUGCCUAACACAUGCAAGUCGAGCGAUUACUUCGGUAAAGAGCGGCGGACGGGUGAGUAACGCGUGGGUAACCUGCCUCAUACACAUGGAUAACAUACCGAAAGGUAUGCUAAUACAGGAUAAUAUAAGAGAUUCACAUGGAUUUCUUAUCAAAGCUCCGGCGGUAUGAGAUGGACCCGCGUCUGAUUAGCUAGUUGGUAAGGUAAUGGCUUACCAAGGCGACGAUCAGUAGCCGACCUGAGAGGGUGAUCGGCCACAUUGGAACUGAGACACGGUCCAAACUCCUACGGGAGGCAGCAGUGGGGAAUAUUGCACAAUGGGCGAAAGCCUGAUGCAGCAACGCCGCGUGAGUGAUGAAGGCCUUCGGGUCGUAAAACUCUGUCCUCAAGGAAGAUAAUGACGGUACUUGAGGAGGAAGCCCCGGCUAACUACGUGCCAGCCGCAGC